rnacentral:rRNA from 1 species
GUCUAUGGCCAUACCACUUUUAAUGUGCCCAAUCUUGUCUGAUGUCAGAAGUUUAGCAGGACUGGGGCUGGUUAAUACUUGGAUGGGAGACUGCCUGGGAAGAUCAGGUGCUAUAGGCU